GCGGGUGUAGCUCAGGGGCAGAGCACAACCUUGCCAAGGUUGGGGUCGAGGGUUCGAAUCCCUUCGCCCGCUCCA
rnacentral:tRNA from 134 species